rnacentral:tRNA from 1 species
CAAGACGUAGCUAUAACCCCCAAAGCAUUCAGCUUACACCUGAAAGAUAUCUCCGCUAAACGAGAUCGCCUUGA